rnacentral:rRNA from 1 species
AUGUCAAUUGCAGAAUUCAGUGAAUCAUCGAAUCUUUGAACGCACCUUGCGCUCCUUGGUAUUCCGAGGAGCAUGCCUGUUUGAGUGUCAUU